UCCCCAUGGCCAGCUGCUUUCGAUCACAUCCUUUUCUUGAUAGCUCUUAUCUCAUGUUGGAAUUUUUACUAUAUUAAUUUGCUUCCUUAUUUUCUGUAUCUCCCCCAGAAUAUAAGUUUCUUGAAAGCAGAUCCCUUAUUAAGUUGACCUUUAUAUUUCUGUACAUAAUGCACUGUCUAGCACAUUGGAACUGCUCAGUAAUUAUGUAAAUUGAACAGACAAAUGAGCCCACAGUGACAGGAAUGGUAUAGCUAGAGACUCAGAUAACCUCCACUCUCCCUAUCUAGCUGUGUGUCAUGGACUAAGUCACUGAAUCUCUCUGGAUUUUACUCUGUUAACCUGUCUAAAAGAAGAGGGCAGGUGCUAAUGGUAAGCAUGUUGUUGCCCUCCUCAACCAGCAGGAUCACUAGGCCUUUAACUGGAAAGAGCAGGGGCAGUGCAGAUAUCCAAGGAAAACUGUUAAUUCAUGACCCAUGACUCAGGAGGCAGCAAUCAGAGCUCCAGAACAAUGACAAAAAUGAGCCCGCUUGUAACAUUCACAGAGCAAUUAGUGCCACACAGAGUAAAACAUUAUCUAAAUUUGUUGCAGAAAUACGCUCAGCCAUGGGAAAUUCUUUUGAAGUAUUGGAAAGAAUAUUCCAGAAUGGAGUGCUCAUGCUAAUGUCUAUCACUUGAGUUCAGGGGUCCAUGUUUUGGGUCUCUUCACUCAGUAGAACUUUUGUGCUCAACAAAAUUAAAUUCUCCGGGAAGAAUAAUUACAUGUAAAUGCUGCUAGGCUAUUAGUCUCAAGGGACCAAUUUUCUAGCCAUUUGUUGCCAUCUGAAAUGUCAAAUUUACUACAGAGGGCAUGGUAAUACAUACAACAUCCUCUACUAAAUAGAAUGUGAAAGGCACUAAUCAGCACUGUGGCUGCAGAUGGUGAUGGCAGUAAGGUGUUGCCUUAGCUGGUAAGGUGAGCUAAAUUAAUCACAUGGAUUAUUUUAAAGAAAAUAAAACAUUCUCGUGAUAGAAAGGCUACCUGAACGCAGGUUCCAUAGUUCAAAGGCUGUCUCCUCUUGAGAAGGCUCAUGAUUCCCCACCGUCUCCUAUUUUCACAGAUUUCCAGGGCCCGGGAGAAAAGGCACUUGGCUUUAAGCCCUGGCUGUCAAUUGCCUUACUCGGUAACCUUGGGCAAGUCACUGCCCUCUCUGAUCUUCAGUUUCAAUUUCCUUACCUGUAAAGAUGAUGCUUGUGUUGUUCUGUGGCAUCCGUGAAGAUUCAGAGGAGGGCAUGUGUUUUAAGAACAUUAAAAGCUGAAAAUGUUAUAUCACUCAAUAAUUAUACUCUAUGCAGGGGGCGUUUAUUGAUUUUUUACCUGUCCUGUGUCAUUUAUACUGUUUUUACUAAUGGUAAAAGACCCUAAACUUUAUUUAGGGGAAAUGUUCCUUCCUUUUUUUAGUCCACAUGGGUUGCUUAAUGGUUGCAUGACCCAGGGUUGGUCAAUUGAGCGUUCUGUUACCUUGGUCUCAGUGAUUAGUUCGCAGAUGGCUUGUGACCUUGGCCAGGACAGUGAGACUUCAUUCUGGUGUACGUAGAGGGAGAUGAUGAAAAGGAGAUUUUUGCCAGUGGGAAUGUUAUCCUGGCAGAGUUUAAACCAUGUUGCAGAGUGGAUACUCGGGGUGAUGCUAAACUGUAAAGUUGUCUUUUGUGUCCCUGGAUCCAGCCUGCUGGAUCUGACUCUAGAUGUUCACAGAGUGUCUGACCUGUGCCAGGCACAACGAAAGGCAUUGGAAAUUCAUCCUGUGUGAAACAAAUAAGUCCUACUUUCAUAGAACUCACAUUUCGAUUAUAUGAGCCAAUAAGUUCUCCAUCCUAGUUCGCUUCAUAUGCCUUCUCUCUUGAUCCUGAAAGUCUAGAAUUUCUUCUCCUAAUUUAUAAAAUAGACAAAGAAACCUAUUUUGCUGAAACAUUGUCAACACAAUGUCUGUAAACCCUUUCACCUAUAGUAGGUGCUAAAUAAAUGAUAUUACAUUGGGUAUUAAUCAUUAUUUUUUGGUCACCCAAUAUCUAACUCCCUUUUCCUUGUUUGGGGAAAUCUCCCACCUUAGGAGACAGAGCCCAUUUAGAAGCUGGCAGUACCAGCCACCAGGCUGGGCUCCUGGCUGAUCUAUUAUAAAUUGGAUGCCUCUGACAGAGACUGAGUCUAAAACACAUGAAGCAAUGAAGUGCCAACUGCAUGGACUUCAUUCCGGGGAGAGUGGUGUAGAGUGGCAAGUGCAUGUGAUUUUAGAGUCAGCAUAGGCAGCAGUUCUAGCAGCAACAUCCAAAGCCCUGUCUCAGAGGUGCUAUCAGCACCAACUGCAGACUCUGCAUGUCAAUGGAAGCUGUAAGCCCUCAUCUGACUACCCCGAGAAGAAGGGACUCCUGGCUGUGUGACUUCAGACAUGGUUCUUUGGAUUUCCUGAAGAACAUAGAAACUACCCAGUAUCCACUAAAUACAUCAGUUUUUUUUUCCUGCUUAAAUUAGGCAGAGUUCAUUUCUCUUGCUUGCCAUUGAGAUCCAAUUCUUUAGUUAUGAUAAUAUAGCCUUUUUUCUUUUUUUGGGGUCCUUUUAGGGCCACAACGGUGGCAUAUGGAGGUUCCCAGGCUAGGGGUCCAAUGGGAGCUGCUGGCCUACACCAGAGCCACAUCAACGUGGGAUCCAAGCUGCAUCUGCUACCUACACCACAGCUCAUGGCAAUGCCGAAUCCUUAACCCACUGAGCAAGUGAGGCAAGGGAUCGAACCUGCAACCUCAUGGUUCCUAGUCAGAUUCGUUCACCACUGAGCCAUGAUGGGAAUUCUGAUAAUAUAGCUUUAGUGAUGAUAAUGGUGAUGAUGAGACCUGUGUUGUAGGGAAAAGAAAAUAACCACUCAGUCUGUAAUGUGGAGAAUAGAAGAGGAUAAGAUGGGAAGCUGAGACUGAUAAUAUAUACUAAGAGUGAUAUGGGAUAGUAAGAGCUGGUAAGGAUGAUAUGGGCUGGUAGUAUGUCUCUAGCUGUGUAGAUGGACAGAAAGGAACAUAAGUAAGAGACAUUGGAGGUGAGACUGACAUGACAGUUUCUUCAGCCAUUAGACCAUAUACAGUACAAAGAUACUGAAAUUUCUUGGCUUUCAAUGCUAAUGUUAUUUAUCUAACGAGAGGUGUUUUCACUGCAGGGAGUACAUUUCAGUUGCAUAUUGUUUAAACUGGGUCAAAGAACAAUGAGGGGUAAAAUUUGAGACUGGAUUCCCACGUCUGGGUAGGGUGACUCAGGCUUCUCCACUUUGGUCCUUUCACGUUAAGACAGACUUUCUCGAAGAGUCCCAUAUGCCGAUGACAUCCAAGUAUUUUGCAAAUGGUGAAUAUGAAAGUGCUCCUGAAUAAAUAAUGGGCACUACUCAUCACAGUUUCCUUUGGUGCUUUCUCACUGUCCCAGAUGCUAUAAGGCCAGCCUAAUGAGCCACCUGUGACCACAGGGGUGGGGUAGUGGGCGGUGGAGCCCAGCUCAGAGAUGGUAAUCGCUUCUUAUUGAGAUGUAUAAUUUUCUCCUUAAAUUCAUUAAAAGUUUCUGAAACAAAUAAAUAAAACAUAAUUGAUACAGAUCCAAUCUCUUUUCCUUCCUUAGAUCAUUAAGAAGUUGUAAUUGCUUCCCAACCCCCAGGAAGCUCUCGUUUCUAAGAAUAAAGUGUUAGUGUGUGACUCCCUGGCAAUUGUUAUUAUUCUGAGGAAUUAAUUUACUCUAAUUAGUUUUAAGCCCAUUAACAGAAGUAGAAAGCUGAGCAAGGGAAGGGAGAUCUGAAAACAGCAUUUUCCUCAGCUGGUUGCAAGAACUUUUCAUGUGCUUAAAAAUGUGGCCACUGAAAAUCAAAUCUUGUUAGGAAUCAAACACAUAUAAAUCAGGGUAUAACUAGUAUGAUUCCUAAAGGGCACAUAACAUCUUAGUCUAUUUUCUGAAAGUAAGAAAUCAACUGUAAUUUUUCUCUCCCAUUGGAAGUCUUCAAAUUGAGAUCUCAAGGACCCCCCUGCCCCAAUCAGAGAAAUGACUGAAAUUAAAGCUCAGAAAGGGAUAGUUGUGCUUGGGCAAAGUUGGUGCCUGCUUGGGAUGAUUCAAGAGCUUUCGAGAAAGUUCUAUUCCCCCAGGAAGCAGCCUCCCAUCCCAAGUUACCCUGGCUGGAAUUCCAACGUGAGGGAAGGAAAGUGCCAUUUUUUAGUUACUUUUACCAGGUCUUUAAAUAGUCUGCUCACUGGGAGGGCUUUUAACCCCUAGAGAUCAGCCUUGGGGUGAAUUGGUACAGGGUGAUUGUAAGGACUGGGAUGGAGGUGACUCUGGAAGAAACAGAAUCACCUUUCAUGCAAACUGGUGACAAACGGUGGAGGCCAGAGGGCUCAGACUUUGUUUUAUAGGCAAUGGAGUAUUUUUUUGGGGGAGAGGGGUUGAAGAGACAAGUGACAAAGUCAGAACAGUGUCACUUGGUGGAACAUGAAGGAUGCGUUUGAAGAGAAGAGACUGAAGGAUGGAAGGCAAGUUAGGAGAUCCAGAUGAAAAGGAGGGAUAGCCAGAAAGGAGGGCAAGUAGACGUGGCAACUAGGGGAUGGACUUCGGACAUAUUUCUGGGAUGAAAUGACCAAGAUUUAGGGAGGGAUUUAGUGGCUAGAGAGGCCAAAGGCCUUUGGUGUUGGAUGGUGAGGUCAGCAGCAGAGAUAGGAAGGGGACAAAAAACCCCAGCACGAUCCUGGAGUCUGAAAUAAUGGGCUUGGUUUUAGACAGAAUAGCUAAUACUGAUAUUAAAAGUGAUGGACUUCCAGGAGGAAUAAUCUGAAUUUCCUGUAAGCAGACAUUGAUCAAACUCAUGUAUUUUGAACCAGUCAGGAAAUAAAAACAUGAUGAAGCUGACUGGAAUUUAGAGCCACUGAGUUUGAGAACAUGUCCCAUAUAAUGGGGCAGCCCCCACCCAGCUCCCGCAAACUGCUGCUUUGCAAGAAUGGGGUCAGGAUCAUCCAAUCAUCCCAUUCUUUAAGAGAAGCCAGAAUCCACAAUCUCAUUCUUUAAGAGAAGCCAGAAUCCACAAUCUCAUUCUUUAAGAGAAGCCAGAAUCCAAUGUUACGUAAGGCCUUCUGAUUCUGAAAUGUUGGCAACUCACUCAUUUCUUUUUUUUUUUUCAUGAACCUCUAAGUGAGCCAACCCCAGGCAAAUCUGCAGAGCACCCCUGGGGACCAAGAGUUUGAGAUUCCAUGAAACAACCCUAAGAACCACAGAGUGGUGCAGAAGGGGAAGUCGCAGCUAAUGGUGGAUCUCUGGAGCAAGUAUCUUCUGAGUGGCUGGAAGUUUGCGAGCAUAGGGCUAGCAACUGUGGGAGAUAUCAUUAUUGCUGCUGCCCUCAAGAAGAUGACAGCUGGGAAUACCAGUCCAAGGCAACAUCCAGAGAAAAAUUCAGCACACUCUAUGAUUAAGUGCUAUGAAUAAUAAGAUUUCAAGAAAGAGAGAGAUUAGCAUCAGACAGAAGCCUUAAGGAAGACAAAAGGAAAGCCCUGCAUCUCAAAUAGAUGAAGGAGAGCUUGCAAGAGGAGGCAGAGACUCACAAAGAAUUAGAAAAUGGUCUCCCCAGUCCAUUUCCAAGUCCAUAACUGUGAUACAUCAGGUCUUGUCUUUUUUCCAGGGAUACAGGCAUGGGGUUUCUGAGAGCAGGUGGGAAGAAGAAAUUACGAGUGGAACCUGGUUCCAUGCUAAUGAUCACUCACUGACCAGUUUGAGCUAUUUAUUUUAUACUAUUUUUGAAAGGUUUUCCCUGCUCCAACCUUGGCAUCCAGCUUAAGUAUUAACCAUAAAUAAAUAAAUAAAUCCCUGCCAGUUUACAUUAGGAGGCAACAUAUCUGUCUAAAAUGGUGAGAUAAUCCCCGAAGAUGGGGCAUCUCAUCCACUGUUAGUGUAUUUAGAAUCGCCCAAGGGGUGUGAAAAGAGGUUAAUGCAACAGUAAGAGUCUUAGGACAGAGGAGGACGGCACAAAGGGGAGAUUUGUCAUGUUUUCAUAACUAAGCUUUGGGGAUGCAGCCGAAUGUCAAACAGCAUUUUCCUGGAUAAUAUGCUCUGUAUAUGCUUCCUGAUUCCUGUCUUUCUAGUCCUUGCUGUUUCUCUUCUCCCCAACCAAAUCUCUGACAUUAAUAAUGAGCACAGAUUUGUUUGUUGGGGGAUAAAGAAAAUAGUGCCUUUGUCCUGAGGUGGUAUCAAUCAUUUUAUUUAAAUAAGCUUUUUGCUGAUAAGCAGAAUCAAUUUGUGAAGCACAUUUGAUCACCUCAGUUCAAUUACUGCGGAAAGCUGCUUCCAGACUCAGGUGGAGAGAACUGAGAAUGUAUUUUUCCAUUUCCCCAUCUGUGAGGGAGGACAGAGAGUAUAACAGCCUCACAGAAAACAGCAUGACAUUUGUGACUGUUCAGCUUUGGGCAUGCAUGGCUGUUGGGGAAGGAGGCAAUUUCAGAGCAAAGAUGCACUGUUUUCCAUAAAUAGGUAGAGAUUUGCAUCUCCUGCCUUUCCAACCAAUUUCCAGUAUGUUUGG
rnacentral:lncRNA from 1 species